rnacentral:piRNA from 1 species
CAGCUAGUAUUAGUCUAUGUCAGGUGGUA